GGCUCGGGUGGGAUGAGCGCGCGCGGCGGGGACCAUGGCGUGGGGAGCGCGCGUGGCGGGGCGCGCCCUCGGUCCCUUCCCGGGAGGUGGGUGGUUGACGGGCCCGCCGGGGAGCCAGGGAGCGCCGGGAAGCGCCGGGAAGCCAAGCUGCAGUGUUCCUCAGCAACAAGUCUCGCUGAGAUCCGACCCAGAGUUCGGCCUCUGACUAGACGCCUGGGAAUCCGUGAGCUUAAUCCCCGCUUAAAUCCCAAACGGAAAAUCAUAGCGCUUUCUUGUCGGUUAAGGGUGUCAUUCCCAUAAGAAGCUGGACCUGGGGACCGCCAGGGAAAGCCUGAGCGUGGCAGCAAAUGGGGAGGCCUGGAGGGAUCGCAGCAGUCUUGGACUCGGGAUCUGAAAUUCUCUCCCUAGGAUUUGUAAACAGUGCCAGUUCCUAAGCUAUUUGUUGUCCUAUGGUCUGUCCAUCUUUAAAUCCCACCAGUAACAAUCCAAUCUCCAGGCUGACCCUCUAAACCUGCUUUAGCUGGGCGUUGAUCCGCAGCACCACCAGAAGGCAGUGACGAAGAGGGAAAAAUAAAGUGAACUAGGACCUCCUGUAGAAUAACUCCUCCUGUGGAAUAACUCCUCCUGUGGAAUAAGACUCCAGGUUCUUCGGGGACUCUUGGACUUACACCAGCGUUUUGCCGGGGGCUCUGUCGGCUGCACUGUCAGUUUCCCUACUUUUGAGACUUUUGGACUCGGACUGAGCCACUACUGGCUUCCUUCUUUCUCAGCUUGGAGACAGCCUAUCAUGGACUUCGCAUUGUGAUCGUAUGGUGCUGUAAUGGAAAUCCUUUAUUUGUGACUCUUGUGGCCUUGUGUGAGAGUUUUUUCCUAAGAUGGACUACAGAGAACCAGAGAGAGUUUUAAAUGUCUUAUUACCAGAACUUAAAGACCUUUAAGCAGAUGCAUGUAAAAAAAUGAUGGUACUUGACAGUCCAGCUGCCACAAUGCUUUCAAAAAACUGGAUUUCUACUGGAUUCUUCAAGAUUACAAAGUUACAGCCUUAACAAACAGUUUGCUGAUAGGCUGUGGGGAGAGUGGAGAAAGAUGAGGUUGGACAAAAAAGUUUCCUCUGAGAUGUGAGAGUAAUCUACAUAUUAAGAAUUGCUGCUAAAAAGAAGAGACCACUAUCUAGUUGCAGAAAAACAAGCAGGCUCCCACUGAUUCUACAUUAUGGUUGUGGACAAGGAAGACAAAGAGUGCAUGAACUGCCUGGUGAUGAAAGCCAUGGUGCAGUGGCGGCGGCGACUGCAACAAGACCCAGGCAGGAAAGGCGCGUGUGGUGUUGGGACCAGCAGACGGGCAGCCUCUGAGGCCAUUUUCUAUUUUUGAAUAAAAUGAUACUACUAAUUUUAUCUGCAAAUAAGUUUUGUUCAAAUGACAAUGUAUGCUCAACAUUAAUAUUUUUCUAAUUUUUUAAAUUGAUGAUUGUUGAUAAUUGAUAAUGACAGGCAUUGAACUUCCUGUUUUGCUGAUUUUUAACUUUUACAAAAAUUUUAAUUAAAUAGUAUCAGUCUGGUAUUUUGGUAUUAGAUUUUAAAAAACAAAAUUUCAGUACCAUAAUUGUGCUGUGGUAUCAUAACUAUUACAUUUAUGGAACAUGCUAACUACUCAUCUUCUAAAUCUUUCAAGAUUUACAUCUCAAG
rnacentral:lncRNA from 1 species